rnacentral:rRNA from 1 species
GAUGAACGCUGGCGGCGUGCCUAAUACAUGCAAGUCGAGCGAACAGACGAGGCGCUUGCUCCUCUGACGUUAGCGGCGGACGGGUGAGUAACACGUGGAUAACCUACCUAUAAGACUGGGAUAACUUCGGGAAACCGGAGCUAAUACCAGAUAAUAUAUUGAACCGCAUGGUUCAAUGGUGAAAUACGGCUUUGCUGUCACUUAUCGAUGGAUCCGCGCCGAAUUGGCUAGUUGGUAAGGUAACGGCUUACCACGGCGACGAUGCGUAAACGACCUGAGAGGGGGAUCGCCGACACGGGAAGUGAGACACGGUCCAGACUCCUACGGGAGGCAGCAGUAGGGAAUCUUAGGCAAUGGGGGAAGGCAUGACGGAGCAACGCCGCGUCAGUGAUGAAGGUCUUCGGUGCGUAAAACUCUGUUAUGAGGGAAGAACAAAUGUGUAAGUAACUAUGGACGUCGUGACGGUACCUAAUCAGAAAGCCACGGCUAACUACGUG